ACACUGCCUGUCCGUCCCCUGCCGGGCGGCCUGACCCAGCCUCUUGUGCAGAGACACCUGGGGCUCCCCGGCAAGAUCCCUUCUAAGCAUUCCUUCUUAUUUUGCAGAUGGGGAAACUGAGGCACGGAGCUGGACAGUGACUCAGACACCAGGUGAACACUGGCUUUUGAGGGCAGGGUUGGGACUCGUGGGGGCAGCAAUGCCAGCUGGGUCAUCACAGUGAGGAGUGAGCUCUGACUCCCAGGAGGGUACAUAAGGUGAGGACUGUCCUAGAGGAAUCAGAAGAUCCCAGGGGACCCUCAGGGAUACUUCAGGGACCCCAACCCCCAUGUGGCUGAUCACAGCCCCUGCAUCUAUUUCUCUUCAAACCCUUUUCCUGCAGGAGCUGCCUGGAGUGGAGCUGAGAGCUCAGGUCUGGGCUCAGCCAGUCCAGAGUGCAAAUCUACUGUCCCUUCCUAGCUGUGUGAUCUUGGCAAGCACUGGACGGGGCCUGCAGGGGUCUCCACAGAGACCAUCAGGAUGUCGUAUUUUGGGGAGCAUUUUUGGGGCGAGAAAAAUCAUGGCU
rnacentral:lncRNA from 1 species